GAACGGACGGCCCAACACGGGAUGGAUAUUUAAACAUCGCAUUUCAGGGAACUUUAACCUUAGCCGCACUUACCCUCACUGGAGAAAAAGAACCAAACGCUGGAGAAGGCGAUUGACCCCUAACUGUCGCCACACCAGAGCCACUGCCGACCGCUAAAAAAGUUAAAAUUUUCCCUUUUCCACUCGAAAUUCGAUUCCAAGUCUCCUUGUGGCUAUAUCAGAGCAAAAGGGACGAUGGAUGAGUCAGAAACUGUAGGCAAAUCUCGGUAGAGCCGUUGCGGUAAAAGUCAUAAAACCCCUCUGAUGAGCCCC
rnacentral:lncRNA from 1 species